rnacentral:rRNA from 1 species
GAUGAACGCUAGCGGCAGGCUUAACACAUGCAAGUCGAGGGGUAGAGUUAGCUUGCUAACUUGAGACCGGCGCACGGGUGCGUAACGCGUAUGCAAUCUACCUUGUACAGAGGGAUAGCCCAGAGAAAUUUGGAUUAAUACCUCAUAGUAUCUUCGGAAGGCAUCUUCUGAUUAUUAAAGUUCCAACGGUACAAGAUGAGCAUGCGUCCCAUUAGCUAGAUGGUAAGGUAACGGCUUACCAUGGCAACGAUGGGUAGGGGUCCUGAGAGGGAGAUCCCCCGCACUGAUACUGAGACACGGACCAGACUCCUACGGGAGGCAGCAGUGAGGAAUAUUGGUCAAUGGGCGCAAGCCUGAACCAGCCAUGCCGCGUGCAGGAAGACGGUCCUAUGGAUUGUAAACUGCUUUUAUACGGGAAGAAACACUCCUACGUGUAGGAACUUGACGGUACCGUAAGAAUAAGGAUCGGCUAACUCCGUGCCAGCCGCCGCCGUAAUAC